rnacentral:rRNA from 1 species
GAUGAACGCUGGCGGCGUGCUUAACACAUGCAAGUCGAACGGUAAGACCCUCCUCGGGUGUGUAUCACGAGGGGCACGCGGGUGUAAAACACGGGCAAAACCCCCCUUUGACUGGGGUAUAACCGGGGAACACUGGAUCUAAUACAGGAUUUGAGCACCUCCGGCUUGAAGGCUGUAGGAAGCUCCCGGCGGUUGGGGAUGGACUCGCGGCUUAUCAGCUUGUUGGUGGGGUAAUGGCUUACCAAGGCUUUGAGGGGUAGCCGGCCUGAGAGGCUGACCGGCCAGAUUGGGACUGAGAUACGGCCCAGACUCCUACGGGAGGCAGCAGUGGGGAAUAUUGCACAAUGGGAGAAAGCCUGAUGCAGCAACGCCGCGUGCGGGAUGAAGGCCUUCGGGUUGUAAACCGCUUUCAGCUGGGACGAGGCGUGAGUGACGGUAAUUGGAAAAGAAGCACCGGCUAACUACGUG